rnacentral:misc_RNA from 1 species
GAAAUGCGAUACUUGGUGUGAAUUGCAGAAUCCCGUGAACCAUCGAGUCUUUGAACGCAAGUUGCGCCCGAAGCCAUUAGGCCGAGGGCACGCCUGCCUGGGCGUCACACGUCGUUGCCCCCCCAACCCCUUCGGUGGCUUGGACGGGACGGAUGAUGGCCUUCCCGCGUGCGCUGUCACGCGGUUGGCUCAAAUGCCGAGUCCUCGGCGACAAUCGGUGGUUGUCAAUACCUCUGUGUCAUGUCGCGCGCGCGAGUCGUUUGUUGGAUCUCCUGACCCAUGCGUGUCGGUCUGCCGACGCUUUGCGACCCCAGGUCAGGCGGGGUCACCCGCUGAAUUUAA